GACGAACGCUGGCGGCGUGCUUAACACAUGCAAGUCGAACGGAAAGGCCCUGCUUGCAGGGUACUCGAGUGGCGAACGGGUGAGUAACACGUGGGUGAUCUGCCCUGCACUUCGGGAUAAGCUUGGGAAACUGGGUCUAAUACCGGAUAGGAACCAUCUUUAGUGUGGUGGUUGGAAAGUUUUUUCGGUGUAGGAUGAGCUCGCGGCCUAUCAGCUUGUUGGUGGGGUAAUGGCCUACCAAGGCGGCGACGGGUAGCCGGCCUGAGAGGGUGUACGGCCACAUUGGGACUGAGAUACGGCCCAGACUCCUACGGGAGGCAGCAGUGGGGAAUAUUGCACAAUGGGGGCAACCCUGAUGCAGCGACGCCGCGUGAUUUAGAAGGCCUUCGGGUUGUAAAAAUCUUUUGUAUGGGAAGAAAAUGACAGUACCAUACGAAUAAGGACCGGCUAAUUACGUGCCAGCAGCCGCGGUAAUACGUAAGGUCCGAGCGUUGUCCGGAAUCAUUGGGCGUAAAGGGUACGUAGGCGGAUAAGCAAGUUAGAAGUGAAAUCCUAUAGCUCAACUAUAGUAAGCUUUUAAAACUGCUCAUCUUGAGGUAUGGAAGGGAAAGUGGAAUUCCUAGUGUAGCGGUGAAAUGCGCAGAUAUUAGGAGGAAUACCGGUGGCGAAGGCGACUUUCUGGCCAUAAACUGACGCUGAGGUACGAAAGCGUGGGUAGCAAACAGGAUUAGAUACCCUGGUAGUCCACGCCGUAAACGAUGAGUGUUAGGUGUCUGGAAUAAUCUGGGUGCCGCAGCUAACGCAAUAAACACUCCGCCUGGGGAGUACGCACGCAAGUGUGAAACUCAAAGGAAUUGACGGGGACCCGCACAAGCAGCGGAGCAUGUGGUUUAAUUCGACGCAACGCGAAGAACCUUACCAAAUCUUGACAUCCUUUGACAACUCUAGAGAUAGAGCCUUCCCCUUCGGGGGACAAAGUGACAGGUGGUGCAUGGUUGUCGUCAGCUCGUGUCGUGGGAUGUUGGGUUAAGUCCCGCAACGAGCGCAACCCUUAAGCUUAGUUGCCAUCAUUAAGUUGGGCACUCUAAGUUGACUGCCGGUGACAAACCGGAGGAAGGUGGGGAUGACGUCAAAUCAUCAUGCCCCUUAUGAUUUGGGCUACACACGUGCUACAAUGGACAAUACAAAGGGCAGCGAAACCGCGAGGUCAAGCAAAUCCCAUAAAGUUGUUCUCAGUUCGGAUUGUAGUCUGCAACUCGACUACAUGAAGCUGGAAUCGCUAGUAAUCGUAGAUCAGCAUGCUACGGUGAAUAUGUUCCCGGGUCU
rnacentral:rRNA from 1 species